UUCAAAGGCAGCGUCUGCGUU
rnacentral:snRNA from 1 species